GAACACUGCGAUCAAGAGGAUUUUUGUAAAUAAUAACUAGAGUAUGAUUAGCAUGAUUAGUAUUAUAGCAUUUCUUAUGAGAUUUUAUUUGAAUUUGCAAUUACAAAAGUAGUUAGAUGUGCUUGCAAGCGAGGGUCCAAACACCUCUAACCCCCAUGAUAAUUUGUCUCGGGUCUUGGGACCUGAGCACUCUGGGAGGAUUCGUUGCAGGCCCAGACAUACAUUGAUGAGCUACUAAUCUGAGGCAAGCAUCUCCUCAUAUACUUUCGGGGUUGUC
rnacentral:lncRNA from 1 species